AUUGAACGCUGGCGGCAGGCUUAACACAUGCAAGUCGAGCGAGCGGCGGACGGGUGAGUAAUGUCUGGGAAACUGCCUGAUGGAGGGGGAUAACUACUGGAAACGGUAGCUAAUACCUUAUACUCUCAGAUGUGCCCAUAUGGGAUUAGCUAGUAGGUGGGGUAAUGGCUCACCUAGGCGACGAUCCCUAGCUGGUCUGAGAGGAUGACCAGCCACACUGGGACUGAGACACGGUCCAGACUCCUACGGGAGGCAGCAGUGGGGAAUAGUGCACAAUGGGCGCAAGACUGAUGCAGCCAGGCCGAGUGUGUGAAGAAGGACUUCGGGUUGUAAAGCACUUUCAGCGAGGAGGCGUUACUCGCAGAAGAAGCACCGGCUAACUCCGUGCCAGCAGCCGCGGUAAUAC
rnacentral:rRNA from 1 species